AAGAGAGGAACCAAUGCUGUCUGCAGGAGCCACAGGGGCAGAGCAGGGCCUGCUCAACUGUCCAGACAGGCAGGUCUGUAAGAACGAGGAGAAUAACAAAACCAACAUUUAUAUAGCAUACAGCGAAGUGCUAUUUGUGCAUAUUGCAUUUAAGAGGCUAGUACAAGUCUCAUUCAUUCCUUUUUUUUGCAGAUGAGGAAACAGACUUUGAGAGGUAAAAUAACACGACGGAAUCUAUGCACUACCUGAUGGCUGAGCUGGGACUUAUCCCCAGGUCCAGUGGCCUCUAGAGCACAGGUGUGUUACUACCACCCCAUUCUGCCCAAGUGAAGCAAGCAGCAGAGAAAUAAUAUGCAGGUUUGCUUUCCAAGGAACCCAAAUGAAGAUAGAAUGACUCAAAGAGAAGAUGUAUAGAAGUACUUACAGCAUGUGGCACAUGGUCUCUGUGCCUGGGCACCAAGCAGACUGUGGUAUCAAUUACAGUGGACCCUGUGCAUCCCUCAGCCAUCCAGGCAGGUGCAGACACUCCUCAGGCUAGGGAUAGCCUCAGGAGACUGACUCAGCCAGAAGGUUGCCCUGGAGAAGACCAGGUAGUCCCUGUUGGCAUGCUCAGAGGACGUGUAGAUCUCUC
rnacentral:lncRNA from 1 species